UUGCCCUUUGACGGUCAAGGCCUAUUUUCUGAAAAGACUGACUCCAGGCUGCAGAGUCUAAAGGACAACAGGAUCAUCAUGCGCUCCCUCGGGAUGCACACCCCGGUGACUCAGCACAGACACUUUAGGUCGCAAUAACA